CCAUUAUUCUUCCUUCUGGGAAAUGAGACAGGAUGACUGAAGUCCUGUCGUGUCCAAAGGAUUUCCCAGGAAAGAAUACUGGAGUGGGUUGCCAUUUUCCUUCUCCACGGAAUCUUCCCAACCCAGGGAUCAAACCCUGGUCUCCUGCACUUCAGACAGAUUCUCUACCUUCUGAGCCACUGAGGGGAGAGUAAGGACUGAUGAAAUAACAAGGUCUUAUUUUCAGCACAUGGACUCUUUAGUCGCACAUGCAGUCUCAGUUGCAGCCUGUGAUUAUCUACUUCCCUGACGAGGGAUUGAACCCAGGCCCCCUGCAUUGGGAGUGCAGAGUA